rnacentral:rRNA from 1 species
UACGUAGGGGGCGAGCGUUGUCCGGAUUUAUUGGGCGUAAAGAGCGUGUAGGCGGCUCGGUAAGUCCGCUGUGAAAGUCCAGGGCUCAACCCUGGAAUGCCAGUGGAAACUGUCGAGCUAGAGUCCGGAAGAGGCGAGUGGAAUUCCUGGUGUAGCGGUGAAAUGCGCAGAUAUCAGGAGGAACACCAAUGGCGAAGGCAGCUCGCUGGGACGGUACUGACGCUGAGACGCGAAAGCGUGGGGAGCAAACAGG